GGGCAAGUUGGGGCAAGGAGCAGCGUGAAUACGAAGGGGGGAUGGGUUGUUCGGAUUUACUGGGAGUAAAGGGCGUGUAGGCGGGCGGGAAAGUGGGGGGUGAAAUCCCGAGGCUCAACCUCGGAACUGCCUCCAAAACUUCCAGCCUGGAGCAAGAUAGAGGCAAGUGGAAUUGCGAGUGUAGAGGUGAAUUCGUAGAUAUUCGCAGGAACACCAGUGGCGAAGGCGACUUGCUGGAUCUUUGCUGACGCUGAGACGCGAAAGCGUGGGGAGCAAACAGGAUUAGAUACCCCGGUAGUC
rnacentral:rRNA from 1 species